CAGAUGGCAGCCAUAUUGAAUUUUAGUUCAAAAGUUCUUUCGUUAUGUAUCAGAGUUGUUCAGUAGCUUGAAAGUAAAAUUUGAAACCAAGUUUGAUGAUAUUUUUUAUUAUUGUUGUAAUUUUUCAGUCUCUUAAGAAUCAUAGCUGUGUUUACACAAUUUCAGUUUUUCGAUAAUCCGUGUUAAUACGUUUCUACUACAUAGGUAUUUUAAAAUACCUCUUUUGUGUAAUUUUAUCGUGAUACGUUAGUGGGCAUAAUAUCCACUUAUUAAAUCUAUAAUAAAAUAUUUGGGAAAUUUUGGCCAUGUCUUAUAAUUUCGAAAAUAAAUGUACAAAUCAAGAUGGUGAAUCUAUAGACUUCAGCAAAAUAUUGGACACUGAAUUUUCAACGCAAACGAAAAAUGUUGAAGUUACGGUAGAUACUACAGAUUUGCCUUUACUGCUUAUAACUAAUGCAAAUAAAGAAGAAGUGUUGAGAUUUUAUUGGUGGAACGCAUACGAAGAUCCGUACAAAAAACCUGGAACUUAAUUUGGUAAGGUCUAUGUACCGUCUACGAAUACAUAGUGUCCUUGCCAUAUACAAGUUGCAAAUAUUCCUCGAAGAAUAUAUUUUCUUCCCAGAGUGCAUGUAUGAUCAAAUAUUUAUCAAGCUUGUUUGAUAAACCAAAAUUGAAUUCAAUGAAAGAUGUUUAUGAAGAAUUUAAUGAGUUUGCAAAGAAAUCAGGAAUAAAAGAAUUUCAUUGCAGUACAGUUACAAAACAUUAUGCUUUUGAACAAGAAGAUACUCCAUUAGUGUCUGAAUAUUUAGAAGUCAGAUAUCCAGCAUGGUAUCCAGCUAUGCCUUCCAAUUAUUCUGGAUCAUCGAUAAAGCGUGUCUUUGGGACUACAGUGAAUGCUUUAGAAGUAUUUAUAAUAGAAAGAAAUAUUAAAGGACCCUGUUGGUUAGAUGUGAAACAUCCAUCACCAAGUAGUUUAGACAUCUGUUGGAGUAAAAUAAAGGUGACUUGUGCGAAGAUGGAAAACAUAUCAGUUUGUUCCGAGCCUCCAGCUUCACCACCAUUAACAAUCAUGACUUUAAAUGUAUGAACAUCAUCGAAUUUGGAAUCUCGAGAGAAUGAAAUAGUCAUGGUUGCGGUAUUAAUACAUUACGAAUUUCAGAGAAAAUUUUCUUUCGCUCUCCGGAUAGGGAGUAUUCAGAAGUAGAACUUUACAAACAACUGUGUUUUUAUCGUUAUCUAUUUAACGUUAGUCGAUCAAAGUACAAAGACUUACUAACUCAAUAUCCAGAAGGUAUGAGAACAGCAUACAAUCGUUUAAAAGGAGAAAUAGAAAGGGUAUUGGAACGAAGUUCAUUUUAUUUUGUAAACUUGGACACGUUAUUCCAAACGGUAUAUUUACCACACAAAUCAAGAGGUCGAGAUUCACCUAUGAAUCAGAUGAUGAGAUUUGAUAAGUUCAAUCGAUAUGCAGAAUUGUUUCUUUAUUUUUGGUUUUACAGAUAUGUGACAUAAAAAAUCAUCUAUUUAGUUGUAUAUUUUGUUAACACGAUUGCCGUUAACGAUUCACGUAAAAAUGUGGUGCAAGAACACCAUUACUAUUCUCGCCGCACGAAAUAUGAAUAAUAAAUAUGGAAACCCAAUUUGAAAAUUACAAAUAUCCCAAUACUUUAUGAAAUUUUUAACUUGACACGAUAUAAAACGCAAUGUUCAAAUAAAUCACAAAUUCAAA